rnacentral:rRNA from 1 species
UACGUAGGGUGCAAGCGUUGUCCGGAAUUAUUGGGCGUAAAGAGCUCGUAGGCGGUUUGUCGCGUCGACUGUGAAAUCCCUCGGCUUAACCGGGGAACUGCAUCUGAUACUGGAUGGCUUGAGAUUGGGAGAGGGAUGCGGAAUUCCAGGUGUAGCGGUGAAAUGCGUAGAUAUCUGGAGGAACACCGGUGGCGAAGGCGGCAUCCUGGACCAACACUGACGCUGAGGAGCGAAAGCCAGGGGAGCAAACGGG